UACAGGAGGUCCCGAGCGUUUGUUCGGAUUCAUUGGGCGUAAAGGGUGCGUAGGCGGCGGGGUAAGUUUGAUGUGAAAUCCCGGGGCUCAACCCUGGAAUUGCAUUGAAUACUACCUUGCUAGAGUACCGGAGAGGAAACUGGAAUUUACGGUGUAGCAGUGAAAUGCGUAGAGAAUCGUAAGGAAGACCAGUGGCGAAGGCGAGUUUCUGGACGGUAACUGACGCUGAGGCACGAAGGCCGGGGGAGCAAAACAGGAUUAGAAA
rnacentral:rRNA from 1 species